UACGGAGGGGGCUAGCGUUGUUCGGAAUUACUGGGCGUAAAGCGCACGUAGGCGGCUUUGCAAGUUAGAGGUGAAAGCCCGGGGCUCAACUCCGGAAUUGCCUUUAAAACUGCAUCGCUAGAAUUGUGGAGAGGUAAGUGGAAUUCCGAGUGUAGAGGUGAAAUUCGUAGAUAUCGGGAGGAACACCAGUGGCGAAGGCGGCUCUCUGGGCAGAUACCGACGCUGAGACGCGAAAGCGUGGGAAGCAAACAGG
rnacentral:rRNA from 1 species